UGUGUGUGUGUGUGUGUGUGUGUGUGUGUUGCAACCACUUAUUUGGGAGCUUGAAGUUAAAUCCUCUUGGUCAUUCCCUUCUUAACAAGGUGAGAUCACUUUAUUCUGAAUAUUUUGGUCCUCCAUUUGAAGCAAACCAUUGCAUACUAUAUUAAAACAACAACUUCAUAGUCCUUGCACCCUAAACACCUAUGAUCUCAAGAACACAAAAUUUGUUCAAAAUAAAUCAAAGUUAAAUUCAAAUUCUUCAAAUAAGAGUAAGUCAUUACUUUAUUCUCUUAACUCUACAAGUUACAUAUGGUGGCAGACUAUAUGUAAGUAUAUAUUUACUUAACAUGGUCCCUACUUCCUGGUAUUCUCACCUCUUGUAUUCCCUUCUCUUUGAUUAUGUGCAGGGCCUGUGAAUUGCUUCUAAGCAUGGUGGGUAUACUAUCACCUGAAAGAUGUAUCUUAGUUUUCCACAUUCUGCUGACUGAAAGAAAACUCUGGCGGCGGGACUUAGAUGCUCUUGCAAUUCAACUUUAACCACGCAGAGGAAUACAUUACCCUAGAGGAUGACAGUGUAACAAGAUGGAAGGAAUCUGAGUUCCUGAAUAACCUCCUGGAAAACUGCCUCACCACUCUGCAUGGGCUAGACCUUUAUGUAAGAGAAAAACAAAAUGUACAAUAAAUACUCAUUAUUUGUGGAA